rnacentral:rRNA from 1 species
CAGUCGCCACGGUAAUACGUAGGGUGCGAGCGUUAAUCGGAAUUACUGGGCGUAAAGCGUGCGCAGGCGGUUGUGUAAGACAGGUGUGAAAUCCCCGGGCUUAACCUGGGAACUGCGCUUGUGACUGCACAGCUAGAGUAUGGCAGAGGGGGGUGGAAUUCCACGUGUAGCAGUGAAAUGCGUAGAGAUGUGGAGGAACACCGAUGGCGAAGGCAGCCCCCUGGGCCAAUACUGACGCUCAUACACGAAAGCGUGGGGAGCAAACAGGAUUAGAUACCCCCGUAGUCCCUGUCUCUUAUAC